rnacentral:rRNA from 1 species
GCGUAUACGAGAUACGAGCNUUUNCGGAUUAUUGGUUUAANGGUGCGUAGUGGCUNUUNAGUCGGUGGUGAAAAGNUGNGNUCAACCGCAUUUUGCCAUUGAUGCUGGAUAGCNUGAGUGUAGAUGAUGUAGGCGGAAUACGUAGUGUAGCGGUGAAAUGCAUAGAUAUUACGUGGAACACCAAUUGCGAAGGCAGCUUACAAAACUAUUACUGACACUGAUGCACGAAAGCGUGGGUAUCAAACAGGAUUAGAUACCCUGGUAGUCCACGCCGUAAACUAUGAUUACUCAGAGUAUGCGAUAUAAUGUAUGCUCUCAAGCGAAAGCAUUAAGUAAUCUACCUGGGGAGUACGUCGGCAACGAUGAAACUCAAAGGAAUUGACGGGGGCCCGCACAAGCGGAGGAACAUGUGGUUUAAUUCG